GGCAUCUGGCAUCAUGCUGGUGCCUGUGUAAACAGGUGAAAAGGGAAUGCCGCGCCGAAUGAGGCCAAGGCAGCCGCCCCCGCGACCGUGACCGGAGAGGUUUGCGCACCACUGACCCAACGGGGUCGGGAAGGGCGCAGGACCGACAAUCGGGUAAGCCGAUUGAAAUCCGCAAGCCGGGAGACCUGCCAGCGUGAACCGAAUGUU
rnacentral:ncRNA from 2 species